GAUGAACGCUGGCGGCGUGCCUAACACAUGCAAGUCGAACGAAUAACCCGCCCUCGGGCGGUCAUAGAGUGGCGAACGGGUGAGUAACACGUGACCAACCUUCCCCCCGCAUGGGGAUAACCGGGCGAAAGCCCGGCUAAUACCCAAUACUCCGGGCCCUCCGCAUGGAGGGGCCGGGAAAGCCCAGGCGGCGGGGGAUGGGGUCGCGGCCCAUUAGGUAGACGGCGGGGUAACGGCCCACCGUGCCCGCGAUGGGUAGCCGGACUGAGAGGUCGAUCGGCCACAUUGGGACUGAGAUACGGCCCAGACUCC
rnacentral:rRNA from 1 species